rnacentral:rRNA from 1 species
UACGUAGGGGCAAGCGUUAUCCGGAAUUACUGGGUGUAAAGGGUACGUAGGCGGCCCAUUAAGUCAGAUGUGAAAGCCCGGAGCUCAACUCCGGGAUUGCAUUUGAAACUGGUGGGCUAGAGUACAGGAGAGGAAAGUGGAAUUCCUAGUGUAGCGAUGAAAUGCGUAGAUAUAGGAAGGAACACCAGUGGCGAAGGCGGCUACCUGGACCAAUACUGACGCUGAGGUGCGAAAGCGUGGGGAGCAAACAGG